UGACCUCGAAUCAGGUAGGACUACCCGCUGAACUUAAGCAUAUCAAUAAGCGGAGGAAAAGAAACUAACAAGGAUUCCCCUAGUAACUGCGAGUGAACCGGGAAGAGCUCAAAUUUUGAAUCUGGCGGUCUUUUCGGCCGUCCGAGUUGUAAUCUAGAGAAGCGUCUUCCGCGCUGGACCGUGUAUAAGUUUCCUGGAAUGGAACGUCGUAGAGGGUGAGAAUCCCGUCUUUGACACGGACUACCAGGGCUAUGUGAUGCGCUCUCGACGAGUCGAGUUGUUUGGGAAUGCAGCUCAAAUAGGGUGGUAAAUUCCAUCUAAAGCUAAAUACAGGCGAGAGACCGAUAGCGAACAAGUACCGUGAGGGAAAGAUGAAAAGAACUUUGGAAAGAGAGUUAAACAGUACGUGAAAUUGCUGAAAGGGAAACRCUUGAUGUCAGUCGCGUCGGCCGGGGAUCAGCCUUGCUCUUUUGCUCGGUGUACUUCCUGGUCGACGGGUCAGCAUCGGUUUCGACCGUCGGAAAAUGGCUCGAGGAAUGUGGCACCCUUCGGGGUGUGUUAUAGACUCGGGUCGAAUACGAUGAUCGGGACCGAGGAACUCAGUACGACCUUCGGGUUCGGGGCUUCGGCUCAC
rnacentral:rRNA from 1 species